rnacentral:rRNA from 1 species
UACGUAGGGUGCGAGCGUUGUCCGGAAUUAUUGGGCGUAAAGAGCUUGUAGGCGGUUUGUCGCGUCUGCUGUGAAAAUCCGGGGCUCAACCCCGGACUUGCAGUGGGUACGGGCAGACUAGAGUGUGGUAGGGGAGACUGGAAUUCCUGGUGUAGCGGUGGAAUGCGCAGAUAUCAGGAGGAACACCGAUGGCGAAGGCAGGUCUCUGGGCCACUACUGACGCUGAGAAGCGAAAGCAUGGGGAGCGAACAUG